CACAAACAAAAACUCCACGGCACAAACAAAAACUCCACGGCACAAACAAAAACUCCACGGCACAAGAGCAAAAAAACAAUAAGAAAGACUGGGCACUAUAAUACUUAACUAUAAUACUUAAUAAAUUCAACAUGGCUGAUUUUGAGGAGUUAAUAGGCGAAGAACAGUUUGACGAAGAAGACAUUAUACACUACCAUUUUUUUCAGAGGUUUUAAUUAUGAAGUAAUUCGUAGAUUUUUACAAAAAAACCAUGCGAUCGAAAUGAGCAUUAGAACUCUAAAGAGGCGAAUAAAGAGCUACGGACUUCGAAGGAGACAGGAAGAAUACGAAAUUGCUCACGUGAGAGAAGCUAUUGAAAAUAUCGUUGAUGGUCAUGGUAGUCUUCAAGGGUACAGAGCAGUGUGGCAUACUAUACAGCUGAAGGGAUUACGAGUGUCACGAAUUGUUGUGCAGGAGAUUCUGCGAGAAAUUGACCCGGAAGGAACAGAACAAAGAAGAGCACAUCGUCUGAAAAGAAGGGAAUAUCGAAACCCAGGUCCAAAUUACGCGUGGCACUGUGAUGGUUAUGACAAGCUAAAGCCAUACGGAUUUCCAAUCCACGGGUGUAUAGAUGGUUGGAGCAGAAAGAUACUCUGGCUAUACGUCACUCGAUCAAAUAAUCGACCGGACAAUAUAGCCACCUACUACCUUAAUGCUGUGGAAGAAUUUGGUGGGUGCCCUGUGGAUUUCGUUACGGAUUUGGGAACAGAAAAUGGAACAAUGGCUGCAACUCAAGCUUUUUUCAGGGAUGAUCCUGACAGC